rnacentral:tRNA from 1 species
GCCGAAGUGGUGAAACUGGUAGACACGCUGUGUUCAGGGCGCAGUGGGCUUAGGCCCGUAAGGGUUCGACUCCCUUCUUCGGCA